GGAAGGUCGAAAAGUUUUUAUGUUUUUAAUCACAGAGCUCCUUUAGUCUUGAGUCUGAGCUUCAACUGAGCCAUCCCAGAUAUGACAGUGGACACUUUCUCCACAGAAUAAUAUUCAUGAGGUGCAAGAGGAGAGUGCAUACAUCGAUUUUCUAGCCAAUAAGUAGACAAAGACCAAGAAAGGAAAACAGGCAUGGAAAAUUGCCUGUCGAUACUCAGAGCAACCAAGUGAUUGCAGUAAUUGAACGAGACCAGCAGAAGUCACGUGUGUGAUUAUCAGCUGCCUCGGAGCAUCAGCACUGGUCCUGUCUUCGUGGUCUUUGGAUGGACGAGGUCGUGGCUGAUAGAAAGUGUGUCUUCGGAGCCGACGCUGGUAAUAUUCGGACUAGGGAAUCGACUCCUGUUUCGUGCAAAGAAAACAUGAAACUUUUGGCUGUUACAAAUAAAGCUGCUGUGAACAUUCAUGUACAAGUUUGGAGAAUGAAGAGACAAGCUGGAAAUGAGGAGAAAAUAAUUGCAAAGCAUACAUCUGAAAAGGGACUUUUAUCCAGGAUCUAUAAAGAACCCUUAAAACUCGGUAGUAGGGAACAAGAUAACCCAAUAAAGAAAUGGGGGAAAUGAUUUGAGCAUACACUUCACAAAAUAAGAUACAGAGAUGACAAAUAAGCACAUGAAAAGGUGCUCAGUAUCAUUGGUCAUUAGGGAAAAUUAAAACCAAAACAGGAUGUCACUACACAGCUAUUAGGAAAGAGUUUGGAAGUUUCUUAAAAGUUAAAAACAUGUCUACCAUAUGAUUCGGCUCUUUCCCUCCUAUGCAUUUACUCCAACUGAAUUUUGAUUUCUGGUUAUUUGGAUGUGUCUUUCACUUGAGUGCAAUUAUAAGCACCUUAGGAUUAGGAACACUGCUUGUUAAAUGUUAUUUUAUCUUAUCUUUUAAUUUAAUAUGUAUAUUCCUAGAAUCAAGAAUGAUGUAUGGAACCUGAUAGUUUCUCAGUAAAUAUAAUCCCAUGAUUGAAAGGUGGGCAGUGGAAAAUAUUCCUGAAUUUGAGUGUCACUGGAGGAGAAUUAUCAUUUUCAAAAACAAAGACCUUCUCACUGCUUGCAACAUAGCUACUAGAAUAUCCUGAAAAGUGGAAUUGAAGGCAUGCCAUGCACAUUUGCUGCUGAAAUCAGUGACCUCAAAUGCCUGUGGUGUUAUCAACACACGGUGGGCCCUCGUGUGAUGGAGGAAAGUGCACUGGAUUUGAAAUCAGAAUAUUUGGCUCAGGGCCUGGUGCUCUGCCACCUCUAUGCAGAUUUCAUACCGGGCAGGUCCUUCCUUUGAAAUCUAGGGCCUCAUUCAGUCCUGACGGUGACCCUCUGAGCUAGCUAUCACCACUCCCAGAGUAUAGCUGGAAGCCAAGGUUUAGCAGCGUAAAACAAUGACACAUGGCUGCAAAUGGUAGACUUUAGGAGGCGCAGCAUUCCUGAUCUCAAACAUUUGCUUUUCUCAUUGUCCCAGGCUGUUCUCAUUACCCGUGUUUCGUUGGAUGGGUACUCAACCUCACUGAGUCUUACUCUGUCCCUUCUAGAUUAUAGAUAAUUAUAUCUACCCCACAGGGCUUUUGUGAAGAUCAGAUGAGAUAAUUUAAAUGGAAUGUGCUAUUUAAAGUGGAAUAGAAGUGUUAGGAAUUAUGAAUAUGCUAAUGAAAAAGAUGACUAGUGUAAUGUUUACUUACAUGGUUCCUAUUGACUCCUGAAAAGUUUGAGACUUAAUUUUCAGUUCCUAUUUUAUAAGUUUUCAUUUUAUCUGUUUUCUUUUUUUAAAAAAAAAUUUCCCUCUAAUCAGUCUCAAGGAAAUGAGAUGCAAAAAGUUGAAUAAUUAAAUAUUAAGGUAUUGGAUUCAAGCCAAGCAAGAAGUUUGAGUUCUUUUAAUGCAAGUUUCUCAAUCUUGUCACUCUUGACAUUUUGGGGUGGGGUAAUUCUCUGUUGUGGGGGGCUGGCCUGUAUAUUGUAGGAUGUUUGUCAGCAUUUCUGGCCUCUGCUCACUAGAUGCCAGUGGCACCCCCCCCCCCCAAUACCAUCUUCAGAUGUUGCCAGAUGUCCCUUGGGGU
ensembl:lncRNA